rnacentral:rRNA from 1 species
AACGAACGCUGGCGGCAGGCCUAACACAUGCAAGUCGAGCGAGGACUUCGGUCCUAGCGGCGGACGGGUGAGUAACGCGUGGGAACGUGCCCUUUGCUACGGAAUAGCCCCGGGAAACUGGGAGUAAUACCGUAUGUGCCCUUCGGGGGAAAGAUUUAUCGGCAAAGGAUCGGCCCGCGUUGGAUUAGGUAGUUGGUGGGGUAAUGGCCUACCAAGCCGACGAUCCAUAGCUGGUUUGAGAGGAUGAUCAGCCACACUGGGACUGAGACACGGCCCAGACUCCUACGGGAGGCAGCAGUGGGGAAUCUUAGACAAUGGGGGAAACCCUGAUCUAGCCAUGCCGCGUGAGCGAUGAAGGCCUUAGGGUUGUAAAGCUCUUUCAGUGGGGAAGAUAAUGACGGUACCCACAGAAGAAGCCCCGGCUAACUCCGUGCCAGCCGCCGCAGUAACAC